rnacentral:rRNA from 1 species
ACGAACAUCCGCCUGAGAACUACGAGCACAAACGCUUAAAACUCUAAGGACUUGGCGGUGCCCUAAACCCACCUAGAGGAGCCUGUUCUAUAAUCGAUAACCCACGAUUCACCCGACCACUUCUUGCCAAAACAGCCUAUAUACCGCCGUCGCCAGCCCACCUCAUGAGAGCACAGCAGUGGGCCCAACAACCCACAGCCCGCUAACAAGACAGGUCGAGGUAUAGCCCAUGAAGUGGAAGAAAUGGGCUACAUUUUCUAAAAUAGAAAACCCAACGGAAGGGGGCUUGAAACCUGCCCCAGAAGGCGGAUUUAGCAGUAAAGUAGGAUAACC